rnacentral:rRNA from 1 species
GGGUGAGAGCGGCCGCCGCCCCCCGUGUGAAGCCCCUUCGACGAGUCGAGUUGUUUGGGAAUGCAGCUCUAAAUGGGUGGUAAAUUUCAUCUAAAGCUAAAUACCGGCCAGAGACCGAUAGCGCACAAGUAGAGUGAUCGAAAGAUGAAAAGCACUUUGGAAAGAGAGUCAAACAGUACGUGAAAUUGUUGAAAGGGAAGCGCUUGCGACCAGACUUGCCCGCGGGGGAUCAGCCUCCCUUCGGGGGGGUGCACUCCCCCGCGGUCAGGCCAGCAUCGGUUCGGGCGGUCGGACAAAGGCCCCGGGAACGUGGCUCCCCUCGGGGAGUGUUAUAGCCCGGGGUGCAAUGCGGCCAGCCCGGACCGAGGACCGCGCUUCGGCUAGGAUGCUGGCGUAAUGGUCGUCAGCGACCCGUCUUGAAACACGGACCAAGGAGUCUAACAUCCAUGCGAGUGUUUGGGUGUCAAGCCCAGGCGCGGAAUGAAAGUGAACGGAGGUGGGAGCCCCGGUGCGCACCAUCGACCGAUCCUGAUGUCAUCGGACGGAUUUGAGUAGGAGCAUGGCUGUUGGGACCCGAAAGAUGGUGAACUAUGCCUGUACAGGGUGAAGCCAGAGGAAACUCUGGUGGAGGCUCGUAGCGGUCCUGACGUGCAAAUCGGUCGCCGGAUAUGGGUAUAGGGGCGAAAGACUAAUCGAACCAUCUAGUAGCUGGUUUCAGCCGAAGUUUCCC